AUUCAAGUCAUGGAUGGCAGAUAAGAUCUCUGACUUGCACUUCCUGUUGCCUGCAUUUUUUUUUAAAUAGAGUACAGUAGAAGGACAAGCAUCUUCUAUGUUACAAAUGAGCUGAUGUGCUUCUUUGUGCCUAAGUGCACACACAGUGAGAAAGUCUUCCACCUAAGGACUUUGGAAUGGGUAUAAAGGUAGAAGAAGAUCAGAUUCCCAUUUUACAUGUAGAGAAGAACAUAAUAGAAAUAUAAAUUGCAAACCUAUUUCUGCACAAUUAGUUUUGUAGCAUGAUCAGGAAUUAAACACUGAUAUUAUGUUGACCAAUCUUUUAAUCUCUUUCCUGAGGAAACAGUACUUGCUGAGAGUGAAAUGUUUCUACAGAAAUGUUCUGUUUGCUGGAAACAUCCUGAGGUCUUGGGCAAUGGAGCAGGCACCAAGGAAGCUUUGAAUCAGGAAAGAAAGCAUGUAUCUCUCUUGCAUCUGUGUAUCUUUAACAUGUUUCAUAUUAAAUACAACUGCUAACACAUCACAUUUAACAUAAGAGGAGCUCAAAUGAGAUGGAUAAAUAUUAUCCAAAUGGAUUAUUGGAAAUAUGUUCACUGUUCUAAAUUAAGUUGAAAGCAAAUUUUAAUCCAUUACUGAUUUUUGAAGUCACAAGAUUUUGUUCUGAUUUCGAAACCUUUUCAGCUCCUCUCCACUGCCCUGAAUUUUCUGCAAGGUAAGUUUGCAAUCUUGAUCUGUUUAACACCCACUCUGUAAAUGAUAAGCAGUAAUAGUGGUUUAGUUACAACAAUAACAUUG
rnacentral:lncRNA from 12 species